GGAACAUCUUGGGAACGGUUUUCCAGCCAAGCCUCCCUUUCUCUAAAUGCAUGUUGAUGUCUUCCUUUAGGGAAACUCCAGCGAGCGGACCCUGUACACCCCAGAAAACAGAACUUAGGUCUGUUAUGCUCACAACCUGAAGUGCUUCCACGGUGAGCUGGAAGUGAUGGAACUGACACACAACGAGCACCAACGGAUCCUGGGCCAGCUCAGCCAACGUCUGAAAAGGCUGCAGGCAGCCUUGCAAAGAAGCCCCGCUAGCCGCUGCCGCCGCCGUGCCCACUCGUGCCCGCCUUGCGAGAGCAACCCCGAGCAGCCUGUGCCCGCUUUCCUGAACGCGCUCCUGGAGCUGCUCCAGUGGAAGUGCAAGGCUUGGGCCGGCCAGGGGCCAGUGGCCUGUCCAUCCCCUGCUCCAUAAGGCCGAGAGCAGCAGCGCCUGCCCACCACCCAAAUGCCCCCCCCACCCCCUUGGCUGCUUCUGUGGUGGGGGUUGGAGGAGCUGCAAGGGCAUGCCAGGCAAGCUUUGUGCCAUCGGCGGGCAACCCACCGCACUCAAUAAGAAACGGAGCAGCCUCUGCAUGGAUAUCUGGGAAUGCCCUGAACAGGAAGGUCACCCUCUGGGUGGAUGGGUAUUGGCCAUAGGUUCUGCUGGGGACUUGCUGAUCGCACUAGUAACGCCGGCCGUUUGGAUGCAACGGAUCUCUGUCCGAGGUGGGGGACCCAGACCAGGGCAAGCCUAGAAGGAGCCGUGGCUAGGAUGCCGUCGACAUGAACAGAGGAAAGCAAAGUAAUGGGGAAACUGGCGCCCAUCUGACACCUGGCGCUAUGGAAGUGUAGACGGUGUCCUUUCCAGCCUCUGUGUGAUGACUCUGUAAUAUUUAUUAUUUCUUAUCCUUGCAGAAUGUAUCUAAUGGGAGCACUGCUGUCCUCCCUGCUGCCCCCCCCCCCCCCGCUUGUGGAGUAAACAGGGCUGCCAGCUGUUCCUUGUUAAACAUGACAGCAUUUCACUCCACUGCCCUUCCAGGGUUUUUUGUUCAUGUGGAUUCCCUCUGGGGCUUAAAUUUCCACAGAAGUCCCAUCUGGCAGGAUGCUCCCAUUAGGGAACCUAUAACUAGAACAGUGAAGUUCUCAGAGAGCGCAGCUUUCCCCACCAAUCUCAACAAAUGGCUAAACAGUCCAACCGGAGCCUCUGGUCUGUUUAUAAAGUCCUUUUCCUGAGAAAUCUCAGCUCCCAAGUGAUUUUGACUCUGCUUUUUAAGAGGAUGAGCAAUUUCUGCUUUUGCAUCUGUCUGCAGUUCUGUUUUCUUUGUUCCUCCAGGUGAAAAAAGACUCAGUGGGCUCAGGGGGAAAAGUCAACAUGUCAUUGGUGCAGGCUGCUGCCGCUGCCAUCUCUCUGUUCCCACUAUCCAUCCUCCAAUGGAUACUGAACAUUUAUUUAUUUCAUUUAUUUAUUUAUUUAUUUGUUAACAAGUCUUAUAUCCUGCUGAAUCCCCCCAAAGGAGCUCAAAGCUGCUUACAACAAAACUACUUCAUUCUAUGUACCAUGUGCACAGUUCUUCACAGAGCAACAGAAACAGGAGGAAGACCACUCCCUGCCCCAAGGAAUUUACAAAUCAAUGUUGACAGUAGAUGGGGCAAGGAAUGCAUGUGAACAAAUUCAGUUACAGGGACUGAAACUUGGGUUCAGCUGGAGAUAAUGAGGAUGUGGUUCUUCAGGAAAGGGAGCUUUUGAGGUGGGAUCAAAAGAUGGGUGUAGUAGUUACAUCUUUGUUUGGUUGGUCCCUGCCUUGAGGUCUAUUGUACUGGCAGGCUUCCAUAAAACAUCUUUCCAGUCAUUCUCUGAAUUUUUGGAUAAAUCACGAUGUCACUAAAACAUCCUUGAGUAGUUGCUUAUAUUUAGCGUUUCCAACAGACCUGCACUAUACGGGAAGUCCCGUAUCUGAGGCAAAAAUCUGUUGUCCCAUAUACGGAUUCCCCCACCCCGUGCGGGCCCCCCCCCUAUUGGCAGAGCCCCUGGGGCUCUCCCUCAUCCCUCAAUGCAUUUGCAUUGAAGUCUGGGUGUGAAAGAAACCACAAAGUUCCCAAUUGUUCUGCAAACUUGCAGGAGCAAUUGGCUGGGUUUUGCAACAUCUGCUUCAUUUACUUAUCUAGUAUCCAUAGACCCACAGACUCCUGCUAACUGACUCACCACUUCUGGCAGUUAAAGCAGUCUUUCAGUGACAGCCAGGGCAAGAUGCAGCAGGAAUGUGUGUGUGCGCGCGCACACGUGCAAACCUGGAGGCUUUACAGACAGGGCUUCUACCCCAAAUCUCCUUCGAGAGAGAGUGUGUGCAUUCCCACAACAACCAAACUUACCCCAAAGUCCCUUCAAGAUCCUUGGACCCACUCCACACACAAGUCGGGCUUUGUCUUGCGAAUUCUAACUUAUCUCGAGGUGUUUCUGGAUUUUUUAAAUGCUGGUUUUAAGCUACUUUUUCUUAAAACGUAAAUAGGGAGAGGCACUGACUUAGAAUCAUUAGCAUGAUAAGAGGGAUACUCUCUUUAGAAACGCAAAUGUAGCUCUUCAGUACUCUCUCCCCCCCCACCCCACCCCCUUGGCUAGAAGGAAAACCCGGGAGCAUGCCAUGUGAACGUGCAUCAAAACAAAACCCGAGAGCAGAAGGGAGGGGCCUUCCCCAACUGAUAAAGAAGAAUAUGGAUGGGUGGAUUCCAGUUCUGGCUUCUUUACUUUCAUUUAUUGAUCAGACCACACUGACACCAAAAGAUUGGGGGGUGGCAAUUAUUAAAAGAUUAAAAAUCCAAAUUUUUAAGAGUAAUCUUUCAAGUUGCUAAAUUCACUCCCAAUGUAGUUUUCAAUCUUGAAGGUAGAAUUUUAAAUGUGGAAAUCAAAAUCUGGCUUUCAGUAUUUAACUUCUGUUUAACACUUAAUCUCCCAAGUGGUUUGACACAUUUGAUAUUAGCAGAUACUUUUAGAUCCACCUGGUAUACAAAAUUGGAAUCUAAACUAUUGACAUAGAUUUUUUUUAAUGUUUUUAUUAUCCUUGUGUGGUCAUGCCAAGAAGGCUCCUAAGUAGAGGAUUUGUGAUAAGAGUAUCAAAGGGUAUUAGUUUGGUCCCCAAAAAAACGUAUCCCGGAAAGAAUUAAUAGCUUAAACCAGCAAAUUAUCUUUAUGGACAGACAGAAUCAACAGACCCCAACCAUCACAGGGCUUUUUCCUUAGCUUGUUGAAAUGCUCUGCCUUUUGCUGUUGUGUCUUGGACGUUUUGGAAUAUUCCAUAUGAUGCAAGAGUUUGUCCUUGUAAUUCUGGUACAGUUGAGUCAAUUGAACAUGUCCUUUUAAAUUGUAUAUUAUAUCAGUCAAUAAGAAAUUCUUACUGUCUUUCCCUGGGCAUUCAGUGUUAUUUUAUGCCACCUAAAACAGGGAAAUGGCUUGACUAGCCAGCCAGAGGUUGCUGGUUUGAAUCCCCACUGGUGUGUUUCCCAGACUAUGAGAAACACCAGUAUCGGGCAGCAGUGAUAAAGGGAGAUACUGUGCGGGAGAUGGCAAUGGUAAACCCCUCCUGUAUUCUACCAAAGACAACCACAGGUCUCUGUGGUCGACAGGAGUCGACACCAACUCGAAGGCAUACUUUACCUUUACUUACUUUCUGGAGUGAAUCCUGAGACCAAUUUUAAUUAGUGGCAAAAUUCUUUGCAGCUGCUUGUAAGAUUAGAUAAUUGAUAUACUUACAAAAACUACUAGCUGAACAUAAUGGAUGGAUAUGUUGUAUUUUUUUUCUCCUUGUCAUGGACCGUAAUAAAGAAUCAAUUCAUGCUG